UUCCUGCGUUUACGAAAACUCCAGUAUACUCCGAGUACAUGUGAGCACUUUGGUAGAAGGUUGUGAUUUUGAAUUUCCGUUGAAGUUUUUGGGCGUUGGCUCAGUAAUACUGCGUAUUUUGUAAGUUUAUGUGUGCGCCUUUGAGGAUAAAUGGGAAGAAUAAGAAAAUGUUUUGCUCCUGGGUGCGUGUCAUGCAGUGAACACACUGGAAUCAAAUUCUUCUAGUUUCCCAGGGAUUCAGCACGUGGCUAUUACAAACAGCAGCGGGCUGAGGGUGUCUCCUAGAAGUACCCCGUUCGACUGUUGUAAAGGUUGUGUUAUUAUACUCGUCAUCACGGAUCAAUACAUCGUCAGCAUGUGCACCGUGACAACCUCUGAAGAAUUCUGUAGAUGAUCUGUGUUCACAGAGUCUCUGAAGAUAAUCCUUCAAGGCUGUAGUUUCCAUUUGAAUUUGGUUGGUUAUGUUAAUGUUCGGCUCGUCUCAGCACAAAUGAAUCAUUUGGUAAUUAUACGAUAUUACAGGCCCGG